UGUAAAUAGCUUGUUAAAAAUGAUAUAGGUAAAAGGAGGAAAGAAAAAUAAUUUUAAAGAAAAAUUGUGUUAGUAAUUUUUAAUGAAAGUAGGAUAAAGACUAGAGAGAAAAGUACUGUGAAGGAAAGCAAUAAGACUUAGUAUAGGAAAAGUAAACUUUUGUGCCUUGUGUAUCAGAAAAAAUUUAUAUAAUUUAGUCAGUCUAAAGGUCUCGAAAUAAAAUAUAGUAAUUUUUAUAAAAUUUUCUUUUUAGAAAAAAAGAAUUUAAUGUAAAAUUUAAAGUGAAACGCUAGUUGAGUUUUAUUAUAUCUAGUUUUUUUAAAAAUAAAUUGAAUUUAUUUUUUAUAGCUAUAAGAUAUAAAAUUUAAUGGCAAGAGGGAACAGCUUCUUGUGUAAAAUGUUGUAAAAUAGUUAAGUAAUAGGAUAUUUUAUAGAUUAGGCUUAAAAGUAGCCAUAUUUAAAAAGUGUUUUAACUAAAUUAUGGUUUAAAAAUAUUUAGGGUAACUUUUUCAAUGUAUAAAAAAAUUAUUUGAAAUGUAAAAGAAUAAAAUAUAAUGAUUUUAUUAGUAAAAUUUGCUAUGAAAAUGAGUGU
rnacentral:rRNA from 1 species